UACGGAGGGGGCUAGCGUUGUUCGGAAUUAUUGGGCGUAAAGAGCUCGUAGGCGGUUUGUCGCGUCGGCUGUGAAAACCUGGGGCUCAACCCCGGGCCUGCAGCCGAUACGGGCAAACUAGAAUUCGGUAGGGGAGACUGGAAUUCCUGGUGUAGCGGUGAAAUGCGCAGAUAUCAGGAGGAACACCGGUGGCGAAGGCGGGUCUCUGGGCCGAUAUUGACGCUGAGGAGCGAAAGCGUGGGGAGCGAACAGG
rnacentral:rRNA from 1 species